UCCCGUGUUAGCCGCUGGUCGUAUCAUACAGCCCAUAUUCCAUUGCAGGUGAUGGGCCAACGUUCGUGUUGAGAUCCGCUGAGUUUCCUCGUACUCGUGGAGUUGAAUUUGUGGCAGAAAUUGCACUGAAUUGCAGUCAAAUGGUUGUGAAUGAAACGAGAUUUGUGGAAAAUGACGCCACUUCCCGUGUUAGCCGCUGGUCGUAUCAUACAGCCCAUAUUCCAUUGCAGGUGAUGGGCCAACGUUCGUGUUGAGAUCCGCUGAGUUUCCUCGUACUCGUGGAGUUGAAUUUGUGGCAGAAAUUGCACUGAAUUGCAGUCAAAUGGUUGUGAAUGAAACGAGAUUUGUGGAAAAUGACGCCACUUCCCGUGUUAGCCGCUGGUCGUAGCAUACAGCCCAUAUUCCAUUGCAGGUGAUGGGCCAACGUUCGUGUUGAGAUCCGCUGAGUUUCCUCGUACUCGUGGAGUUGAAUUUGUGGCAGAAAUUGCACUGAAUUGCAGUCAAAUGGUUGUGAAUGAAACGAGAUUUGUGGAAAAUGACGCCACUUCCCGUGUUAGCCGCUGGUCGUAGCAUACAGCCCAUAUUCCAUUGCAGGUGAUGGGCCAACGUUCGUGUUGAGAUCCGCUGAGUUUCCUCGUACUCGUGGAGUUGAAUUUGUGGCAGAAAUUGCACUGAAUUGCAGUCAAAUGGUUGUGAAUGAAACGAGAUUUGUGGAAAAUGACGCCACUUCCCGUGUUAGCCGCUGGUCGUAGCAUACAGCCCAUAUUCCAUUGCAGGUGAUGGGCCAACGUUCGUGUUGAGAUCCGCUGAGUUUCCUCGUACUCGUGGAGUUGAAUUUGUGGCAGAAAUUGCACUGAAUUGCAGUCAAAUGGUUGUGAAUGAAACGAGAUUUGUGGAAAAUGACGCCACUUCCCGUGUUAGCCGCUGGUCGUAGCAUACAGCCCAUAUUCCAUUGCAGGUGAUGGGCGAAAGUUCUUGUGGAGAUCCGCUGAGCUUCCUCGGCGUACUCGUGGAUUUAUGAAUUUGUGUCAGAAAUUGCAGUCGAGUGGACUUCUGUGCGUGUGUUGUGAGUAAAUCGCGACGGCUCCCUUCCUUCAGCAUCGUCAAAACGCAACAUAGAGCAUUAUUACGCACUCGUUCCAUGAUUCAUGAUAAUGCCUGGAUUCUUUUAAAAACAAUCAAUGUGUGUUCCCUAUCUAUCUACAUUGUACAUGGUUGCAGGUCGUUAUUUAUAAAUCUUGAUAAUUUCAACACUUUUCUA